AUUUUGAUCGUUCGAAAAAAGAGAAGACUAGAGCGUCGUUAUAUAUUUACAUAUCUAUACCUAUACACGCAUAAGUACCAUGAUAAUAGACACGAAAGAUCGAAUAUGAUCUGGAGGGGACGCGUACUUGAACACGUCGUUGUAGUUGUCGUUGUGUUGUGUUGUGUUAUGUUGUCAUUGUAGUUGUAGUCGUAGUCGUAGUCGCGUCGCGCUGAAUCAUUCGUCGACGGCGAUAUCGCGGAUCAUGAUAACAAACGCACACGGCUAAGAUAACCUUCUACGAGUCCGCGAAGUAUUACUGUUACUGGUGGGGCUUACCAAAUGGAGAAGAGAAGGAGGUGAAACGAUCGUGCAAGGCUAUUCUCCUCGUGUUGGAAUCCGUUUAGAGGCCUCGCAUCGCGGUCAUCGUAAUCCAUCGGUAGAAAACGCGCGAGACCGAUCGAUCGUGUGUGCCAGUCGACGAGAGGACAAGGGCAGAGUCGAGAGAGACGGAGAUAUAGAUAUAUAUAUAUAUAUAUAUGUGUGUGUGUGUGUGUGUGUGUAUGUGCGCGCGUAUAGAGAUAUAUACACACACGUAUGCUUUUAUGUAAUCAUAUGAAUCACGUCACAGAUCCUAAGUAAAAAAAAAAAAAGGAGAGAGAGAGAGAGAAAAGAAAAAAAUAUAUAUAUAUAAAAAAUGAAAAAAAUAAAAAAUAAAAGAAAAAGAUAAAAGGUCAAAUGAAAGAGGUGCGCGUGCAUCUCUUUCAUAGACGAGCGUCGAUCGAGAGAAAGAUCAUUGUCGAUCAUUGCCGUGAUUAAAGCAUGCGAACGGGCGCGUUCUUUUCUUUUUUUUUUUUUCUUUUCUUUCUUUUUCUCUUUUCUUUCUUUUCUUUCUCUUUUAAAUUUUCUUUCCACGACACAUUGAGAGAUACGUACAUUUUCGAGAAUGUGAAGGAAAAAAGGAGGUUAUAGAAAAUUGAUAGAUAGGAGACGGUAAUGGUUAGGUAUUAAAACUUCUAUUAAAAUAAUCGUUGUUCUAUCAAAUCUUCGUAGUCUAUUGCAAAUUCAUUUCGAAUAUGAUUCAUCGUCGCCAAAUUUUUCGUAUGAACUUAAUCGAACGUUACUACGAGGACGACACGUGUCGUCUUUAUCGUCAUUUCAAUCGUAAAUAAGAUCGUUUCCGACUGAAAAUAAACGAACGGUCAUUAACAAAUUCUUCGAAUAAUUUCCAAAAAAAAAAAAAAAAAGGAAAACAAAAAAAGAACCGGAAGUCGGUUCCGUAUCAUGAAAAUACCGACGAAAAAUUUCCGUAACGAAAUUACGUGAAAUAUAUCUUAUAACCGACGAUAACUUAUCGCUAGACGAACUUUUUCAAAUUGAUUUGCUAAAGGAUAAAAGAGAAGAAAGAACUUUUUCGUGGCAUGCCCCGUCUAUUGUCGGGGGGAGAAAGAAAAAGAAGAAAAUAAGGAGCAAUCGCGGCUGACGUUACGAUUAAUCGUACGAUAGGAUUUUAUAAUCUUGAAAUACAAAUUGAUUCGUCUUAUUUCGUAUUUAUGUCUCUUAAAAAAAAACGACGCAAGACGACGACAAUGACGACGCGGAUGAUAAGAAAGAAUCGUCGAUCCAAAUACACGCGCGAACGUUUGUUCGAAGAUGUCGCGAAGUCUUUGAACCGUACAAAUUUCAAGGUCACGCGUAGUCGUGGACAUAAAACACGUGCGUCUGGGGGAAGGUCGGGAGGGCCGCGGCCGUAGCUGCGGCCGCGGUUACGAUCGCCGCAAAUCGUACGAUCGUUCGUUAUUUCUCAUCGUUGGUCCUUGAGAUUGAGUGAGAAACGAGAUGAAAGAGAAAUAGAGAGAAGGAGAAGGAAAGAAAGAAAGAAAGAAAGAAAGAAAGAGAGAGAGAGAGAGAGAGAGAGGGAGAGAUAAAGAUAGAGAUAGAUAGAAAAGUUGAAGAGACGCCCGAGUAACAGGCAUACAGGCAAGUAGCCAAUCCAGGAAGAGACAUGAAGAAGACAGGAAAUCAGAAAAAAAGAAAGAAAGAAAAGGAAAGCAACGAGCGCACGUGUUGGCCUACGACACGCGUUAAGAUUCGAGUAAUGACCUGAGAAAAACAACAAAAAUAUGAAAGAGAGAAAGAGAGAGGGGGGGAUAAGCUGAAAAUUUAUGAUACAGAAUGAGGAAGAUAGUAAGGGAAAAAAAGAAGUUAUUCGAAUAACAAGAUAAAAUCAAUCGUUUCGAUGUAAUGAGUACUUUUUUAAUAAUCAAUUAAAACGUUUCAUUCAUCGCGACUUUAUACGUAUCGAUGUACACGUAUGUAAACUAUUCGAAAUAAAUAUUAUUGACGAUAUUAUUAACGUAAUACAACAGUCGCUCGACUUCUCUCUCUAACGAUACGGAUCUAUCCACGAAGGUCUCGAAUUAAGAAAUAAGAAAGACGAAAAAGCGACGUCUUUUCGUCGCGAUCAAGGAUCGUGAUCUAGUCAAGGACAUUCACCACGCGUGGACUGGGAUUUGAUUCGAUCGUCGACCAUGAAGAAUGUUGUAAUGUCGCAGUCGUCGUCACAAUGUCGUAAUAAGGAGGGAGCGUGUGAACGACGGCCACCUGUGACCAAAUGGCCUUGUCCUUGCACGGAUCAUCGUUGUCAAGAACUACCGUGCGCGCGCGCGCACACGCGCGAGAUAUCAACGCCGAGGAACGAAGUGGCAACGAAUGCAUCGACGAAUGUCAUGCCGUCGCAAGAAAACAUUUUCAAUCGACUUCUUACGCGUUGAAACGACUGCCGUCGUCGCUUUACAAAAACAAAACGAAAGAAUGAGAAACAAAAAAAAAAAAGAAACAAAAUGGAAAAACAUGUAAAAUCAACAGAACUUUACGUAAAAAAAAAAAGAAAAAAGAACGAGAGAUUUGUCAAUCGACGAAACGACCUCGCCGAAAUGAUAUUAUUCACGAACGUUGUUCGAAGAGCAUUCCGGUCAUUGCAUAGAAAUUUUUAUGUCGAGAAAUUAUCGUGAUUUACAUACGUGAUACGGUGAUGCUUACGUGACGCGUAUAGGAUUAUUAAUCCGUAGCGUGCAAAGAUCCUUUUUUAAACUCGUCUAUGACACGAAAGAACGUUUGUGUAUAAAGAGAUCCUGUUUUUCGCGCACGAUAAGAUCAGGAAUGAAUACGUGUCUAUAAAUAUUCGUUCAAGGUAAGGAAAAUGAUUUAAGAUGUUAAGCCAAACGUCCGAAUUUAUUCUAGUAUCGUUAUUGAUUGUUAGCAUUCGUGCGUUAAAUGAAGAAAUACAAUAUAUAUAGAUACAUACAUACAUACAUACAUAUAUAUAUAUAUAUAUAUAUAUAUAUAUAUAUAUACAUAUACAGAACUGUUUUUAAAAAUUGAAACGAAAGGAAAUGUAAAAAGGAUAAAAGAUCGAUAUCGAGUUCGUCCAUCCUGGAUUAUUAGGAUAUUCUCUAAAAGCAUUAUAUACACGCAUGUAAACUUUUUGUAAAAAUCCUUCCAAGAAGCCGAUAAUGAUUUUGCACUGCGCACAUAGCGUACGAUUGCAAUGAAGGAAGAGGAAGAAGAAAGAAAAAGGAAAAAAAAACACGACAGAAGAAGAAAAAAAAAAAAAAAGAGCAAGAUUAUGCAGCGCGUCUCGCGUAACAUUAUGCAAUGUUACGAGAGGAGAGGAGAGGAGAGUAGAGGAGAGCAGAGGAGAGGGAGGAAGAAGAAGAAGAAGAAGCAGAAGAAGAAGAAGAAGAAGAAGAAGAAGAAGAGAGGAGAGGAGAGAAGUGUUGUUUCUUCGAGCCCCAAGGCCGAGGGUGCGCGUGCUCUCCUCGUUGCUGUGUAUAUGCGAUAUUAGCGAACGAGAAUCGCCAAGCUGAUCCUCGCGCUCCUCUUCGUCUCAAAUUUCUGUCGAGCCAAGCGACUCCCUUCAUUUUCUCGUAGGACCGACCUCGAACGUCUCCAAAGAAAAAAAAAAAAAAAAAAGAACCUAGUUCUUUCUUUCUUUCUUUCUUUCUUUCGUUUCUAUUCUUUUCUUUUUAUUAUUCCUUCUCUCCUAGGUUCUCUUCCAUCGUCACCUUUUGUCCAGUCAAGGAAGACCUUCUAUGAAUUCAAUUCAUUUAUGGUCGAAUUACUUUUCAAAUUAUUCACCAGCCGGUUAUGUAUAUUAAUAUAUAUAUAUAUAUGUGUGUGUGUGUGUGUAAGUAUGUAUGUAUGUAGGCAUGUAUGUAUGUAUGUUGCGAUAUAUAUGUUCUCUUAACUGAUUCCUUAAUCUUGAAAUAUUUAAAUAUGAAUCGAGAAGAUAUACCGUUAAAAUAAUCUUAAUGCGUUUUCAUUAGAAUGAUUCUUUUAUAAACAUAUCCGUGUAGGAAUAUUUGCUAAUGUAAUUUACCGUAUUAAUGAAUAUAUAUAUAUAUAUAUAUAUAUAUAUAUAUAUAUAUAUAUAUAUAUAUAUACACUGAUAUAAACACGAUCAUUAAUACUAUUCGUUAAUUGUUUCGUAUUCGUAUCGAUUUUAUAAAAAUCCACGUAAUCGUUUAAAAUUUAAUCAAAUAAUCAUCAAGCUUUGACUCUUUUUUAUAAUUAUAUAAAACAAAUAUAUAUGUAAGCACGUAUUAUUAAUUCUAAAAGUACCAUCAAUUUCUAAAUUACUAUAUCGCGACACGUGUCGUCGAAUAUAAUCCUUUUAUAAACAUCUAAUGCGCGUAUAGUUGUAGAAAUAUAUGCGAUUAGAUAGAUAUACGUAUGUACAUACAAUGCAUAGGUAUGCGAUAUAGACAGAAGGCAUGUAAUUGCAGUUUUCCCGGUUUUGAUAAACACAAAAGACUUUUAUAUGCGUUUUAUAAAUGUCGAUUAUCGCGAUAAAUUAUACUUUUAUUAAGUACACUAUACUUUUCAAAUAACAUUACAAUACGUAGUACUUGGAUAUUGAAAAAUAUCAAGGAUGUAUUUCCUUUAUUUUGUUUCGAUACAUAUAAAGUAAUAUCUAUAUAUGUAUAUAUAUAUGAAUUUGUGACGAUCUAAAUUCUAUUUCCUAGAACGACAAUCGCAUUUCAAAUGAAAUUAAAAAUUGUACGAUCGUUUCACGGAUGCGCGUAAGAAAAAAAAACGCAUGACGAGGAAUCUCCGAAAGACGGAUCACAUAGCGUCGAAUCGCGAGAAUGUACGGAUUGGCGUGAGAAACUUUCGAAGAAUCGGAACGAUGUCGUAACUACACGAGAGUGGUAUGCUUUUCACGAGAUAAUGGCGUCGUUUUGCUUCUCGUCCGCGUACGAUGCACCGCUAAAUAUUCGUGGAAUUUAUCGGGACUAAUUACGACGUAUGUAAUUAGGUUGAUCCUUAGACAAAAAAAUACAAACAAAAAAUAUAUAUAUAUAUAUA